UGGGGAAUAUUGCACAAUGGGGGAAACCCUGAUGCAGCGACGCCGCGUGAUUUAGAAGGCCUUCGGGUUGUAAAAAUCUUUUUUAUGGGAUGAAAAUGACAGUACCAUAAGAAUAAGGUCCGGCUAAAUACGUGCCAGCAGCCGCGGUAAUACGUAUGGACCGAGCGUUGUCCGGAAUCAUUGGGCGUAAAGGGUACGUAGGCGGCCCAGUAAGUUAGAAGUGAAAUAAUAUAGCUCAACUAUAUAAAGCUUUUAAAACUGCUAGGCUUGAGAGAUGGAAGGGAAAGUGGAAUUCCUAGUGUAGCGGUGAAAUGCGCAGAUAUUAGGAAGAAUACCGGUGGCGAAGGCGACUUUCUGGUCAUCAUCUGACGCUGAGGUACGAAAGCGUGGGUAGCAAACAGG
rnacentral:rRNA from 1 species